GAGGGUAUAGGUCAGUGGUAGAGCACAUGAUCAGCAUGCUUGAAGCCCUGGGUUCAAUCCCCAGUACCUCCA
rnacentral:tRNA from 1 species